CAUGCUAGUCACUAUGCUAGAUGUGGCGUUUUCUGAGCGAAAAUAACUUCCUUGGACGUAGUAGAGGGACUAUAUUCCUUCGUUUCUACGUGUUAGGAAACAUUUCUACCAACCGUUAAACGAGAGUGACAACUGCGAUGGUCCAAGCUGGCGGGCAGUGACACAAACAAUAGCUACAUAUAUAAUAAUAGAUAACUAUUCUGUCAACCAGUCCCUGAACCAUAUUUAUUUUCCCUUCAGUCGAGCUUUUA